rnacentral:rRNA from 1 species
GAGUUUGAUCCUGGCUCAGAACGAACGCUGGCGGCAUGCCUAACACAUGCAAGUCGAACGGGAUCCUGGCUUCGGCCAGGUGAGAGUGGCGGACGGGUGAGUAACGCGUGGGAACCUGCCCAAUGGUCUGGGAUAACCGCGGGAAACUGCGGCUAAUACCGGAUAAGCCCGAGAGGGGAGAGAUUUAUCGCCGAUGGAGGGGCCCGCGUCCGAUUAGGUAGUUGGUGAGGUAACGGCUCACCAAGCCGACGAUCGGUAGCUGGUCUGAGAGGAUGAUCAGCCACACUGGGACUGAGAUACGGCCCAGACUCCUACGGGAGGCAGCAGUGGGGAAUAUUGGACAAUGGGGGCAACCCUGAUCCAGCAAUGCCGCGUGAGUGAUGAAGGCCUUAGGGUUGUAAAGCUCUUUUGGCGGGGACGAUGAUGACGGUACCCGCAGAAUAAGCCCCGGCUAACUUCGUGCCAGCAGCUGCGGU